GGCCAGUUAUUGUAGUGGGCAUCACGUCGGAUUCUGAAUCCGGAGACGCCGAUUCGAUUCCGGCACAGGUCU
rnacentral:tRNA from 1 species